GUGCUGCAUGGCUGUCGUCAGCUCGUGUCGUGAGAUGUUGGGUUAAGUCCCGCAACGAGCGCAACCCUCACUUUUAGUUGCCAUCAUUAAGUUUGGGCACUCUGAAAGAACUGCCAGUGAUAAGCUGGAGGAAGGUGGGGAUGACGUCAAGUCCUCAUGGCCCUUACGUGUUGGGCUACACACGUGCUACAAUGGCAUCUACAACAGGAAGCAAAACGGCAACGUUAAGCAAAUCCCGAAAAGAUGCCUCAGUUCGGAUUGCACUCUGCAACUCGAGUGCAUGAAGCUGGAAUUACUAGUAAUCGUGGAUCAGCGUGCCACGGUGAAUGCGUUCCCGGGUCUU
rnacentral:rRNA from 1 species